rnacentral:other from 1 species
GCGGGGCUGCGCGGUGCGUGAGAACUUGUAUCCCCGGGCCCUUAUCGAUCCGAACGGGAGCUGUCCCUGACCGGGUCCCUGGACCCGGACAUAUGGCGCCCACCUACGUUGUAGGUGUCCCGGGAUCGAAUGGUUCGACGGCCGAGGCGGCUCCGCU